ensembl:lncRNA
AUGGUAUCAUGUCUGUACUGUACUGGGAUGGUUACUGGGCAGUAUGGCAUCAGCUCUCUACUGUACUGGGAUGGUUACUGGGCAGUAUGGUAUCAUGUCUGUACUGUACUGGGAUGGUUACUGGGCAGUAUGGCAUCAUGUCUGUACUGUACUGGGAUGGUUACUGGGCCGUAUGGCAUCAUGUCUGUACUGUACUGGGAUGGUUACUGGGCAGUAUGGUAUCAUGUCUGUACUGUACUGGGAUGGUUACUGGGCAGUAUGGCAUCAUGUCUGUACUGUACUGGGAGGGUUACUGGGCAGUAUGGUAUCAGCUCUCUACUGUACUGGGAGGGUUACUGGGCAGUAUGGCAUCAUGUCUGUACUGUACUGGGAUGGUUACUGGGCCGUAUGGCAUCAUGUCUGUACUGUACUGGGAUGGUUACUGGGCCGUAUGGCAUCAUGUCUGUACUGUACUGGGAUGGUUACUGGGCCGUAUGGCAUCAUGUCUGUACUGUACUGGGAUGGUUACUGGGCAGUAUGGUAUCAUGUCUGUACUGUACUGGGAUGGUUACUGGGCAGUAUGGGAUGUCUCUACUGUACUGGGAUGGUUACUGGGCAGUAUGGUAUCAUGUCUGUACUGUACUGGGAUGGUUACUGGGCAGUAUGGUAUCAUGUCUGUACUGUACUGGGAUGGUUACUGGGCAGUAUGGUAUCAUGUCUGUACUGUACUGGGAGGGUUACUGGGCAGUAUGGUAUCAUGUCUGUACUGUACUGGGAGGGUUACUGGGCAGUAUGGUAUCAUGUCUGUACUGUGUGUGCUGUGUGUUGCGUGACAGCCGAUGCCGUAUGAACAGCAGUCUGUUGCCGCGGGGACGCCCCUGCAGCCAGGCCUGGGGUUCAACCAGGCCCAGUUCCAGCCUGGCCAGAGCUCCCAGCACGCGGUCAUGAUGCGGCAGAAGUCCAUCGGUGUGACAGAGGAAGAGAGGCAGUACCUGCACCCCCGCCAUGAAGCUGGCCCGCAGCCUCUCCGUCCCGGGGCCGGAAGAGAUCCCCCGCCCAACACCUCGGCCCCGAGCCCCCCUGUCCGCGGGGCCCGUCCCCGGCGGGGCCCUGCCAUGCCCUUCCCCCCCGCCCCCCAGUACCAACUCCACUCCCAGCCGGGCCCCCCCGGCCAGGCCGGCUGGGAGAGGGCCGGCCCAGGAGGGGGCCCCCAG